UAGGUGGUUUAUGUCUUCAAAAGGAAAUAAAAAGCAAAUUUUCAUGGUAUUUCUCUAGAAAAUAAAGUGCCUGUAACUGCAGUGCUCAGCUUAUGUGGAGGUGUGGAACCAGAUCACCAGAAAACACCAAACAGCUUUCUAAAUUAAGGAGAGGAAUGGUCUGGCUGGUAUCACCACUUUCAGAAACAGGAAAUCACAGUCAUCUGUGCAAGCUCUGGCUGACAACACGAGGACAGAUAACCUCCAUGUAGAAGAGUCCAAACAGCUGUUGUUCUGCCUUUCCCUGGACAUGAAUGUGAAAG